UGGGGAGGUACAAGGCGCGCGCGCGCCAAAUUGCUGACCUAAAAAGGGGCGAAAAGUGCGUGUUUCUU
ensembl:ncRNA Y17G7A.4 ncRNA